AGGACAAACGCUGGCGGCGUGCAUAACACAUGCAAGUCGAACGAGUGCCGCAAGGCACGAGUGGCGGACGGGUGAGGAACACGUGGAUGAUCGACCCAUUGCUGGGGAAUACCCCUGGGAAACCAGGGCUAAUACCGCAUGCGCUCGGUGACGAGGAAAGCCGCGAGGCGGCGAUGGACGAGUCUGCGCCCGAUUAGCUGGUUGGCGGGGUAACGGCCCACCAAGGCGACGAUCGGUAGCUGGUCUGAGAGGAUGAUCAGCCACAUUGGGAUUGAGAACGGCCCAAAUCCCUACGGGGAGCAGCAGUGAGGAAUAUUCGGCAAUGGGCGCAAGCCUGACCGAGCGACGCCGCGUGGGGACGACGCAUUUCGGUGUGUAAACCCUUUUCUGUGUGACGAGAAUGGACGGUAGCACAGGAAUCAGCCUCGGCUAACUACGUGCCAGCAGCCGC
rnacentral:rRNA from 1 species